GACGAACGCUGGCGGCGUGCUUAACACAUGCAAGUCGAACGAUGAAGCUGGAGCUUGCUCCGGUGGAUUAGUGGCGAACGGGUGAGUAACACGUGAGCAAUCUGCCCUUGACUCUGGGAUAACUGCGGGAAACUGUAGCUAAUACCGGAUAUGAGGCUUGGAGGCAUCUCCAGGUCUGGAAAGAAUUUCGGUCAAGGAUGAGCUCGCGGCCUAUCAGCUAGUUGGUGAGGUAAUGGCUCACCAAGGCGACGACGGGUAGCCGGCCUGAGAGGGUGACCGGCCACACUGGGACUGAGACACGGCCCAGACUCCUACGGGAGGCAGCAGUGGGGAAUAUUGCACAAUGGGCGAAAACCUGAUGCAGCAACGCCGCGUGAGGGAUGAAGGCCUUCGGGUUGUAAACCUCUUUUAGCAGGGAAGAAGCGAAAGUGACGGUACCUGCGGAAAAAGCACCGGCUAACUACGUGCCAGCAGCCGCCGUAA
rnacentral:rRNA from 1 species